rnacentral:rRNA from 1 species
UACGAAGGGUGCAAGCGUUAUUCGGAAUCACUGGGCGUAAAGGGGGUGUAGACGGUACAUUAAGUUCGUCGUUAAAGGCUCCGGCCUAACCGGAGUAUUGCGAUGAAAACUGGUGAGCUAGAGGGUGAGAGAGAGAAGUGGAAUUCCCGGAGUAGCGGUAAAAUGCGUGGAUCUCGGGAGGAACACCAAUGGCGAAGGCAGCUUCUUGGCUCAUUCCUGACGUUGAGGCACGAAAGCGUGGGGAGCAAACAGG